rnacentral:rRNA from 1 species
CCUGGCUCCGUAUGAACGCUAGCUACAGGCUUAACACAUGCAAGUCGAGGGGCAGCAUGGUCUUAGCUUGCUAAGGCCGAUGGCGACCGGCGCACGGGUGAGUAACACGUAUCCAACCUGCCGUCUACUCUUGGACAGCCUUCUGAAAGGAAGAUUAAUACAAGAUGGCAUCAUGAGUCCGCAUGUUCACAUGAUUAAAGGUAUUCCGGUAGACGAUGGGGAUGCGUUCCAUUAGAUAGUAGGCGGGGUAACGGCCCACCUAGUCUUCGAUGGAUAGGGGUUCUGAGAGGAAGGUCCCCCACAUUGGAACUGAGACACGGUCCAAACUCCUACGGGAGGCAGCAGUGAGGAAUAUUGGUCAAUGGGCGAGAGCCUGAACCAGCCAAGUAGCGUGAAGGAUGACUGCCCUAUGGGUUGUAAACUUCUUUUAUAAAGGAAUAAAGUCGGGUAUGGAUACCCGUUUGCAUGUACUUUAUGAAUAAGGAUCGGCUAACUCCGUGCCAGCAGCCGCGGUAAUACGGAGGAUCCGAGCGUUAUCCGGAUUUAUUGGGUUUAAAGGGAGCGUAGAUGGAUGUUUAAGUCAGUUGUGAAAGUUUGCGGCUCAACCGUAAAAUUGCAGUUGAUACUGGAUAUCUUGAGUGCAGUUGAGGCAGGCGGAAUUCGUGGUGUAGCGGUGAAAUGCUUAGAUAUCACGAAGAACUCCGAUUGCGAAGGCAGCCUGCUAAGCUGCAACUGACAUUGAGGCUCGAAAGUGUGGGUAUCAAACAGGAUUAGAUACCCUGGUAGUCCACACGGUAAACGAUGAAUACUCGCUGUUUGCGAUAUACAGCAAGCGGCCAAGCGAAAGCGUUAAGUAUUCCCCCUGGGGAGUACGCCGGCAACGGUGAAACUCAAAGGAAUUGACGGGGGCCCGCACAAGCGGAGGAACAUGUGGUUUAAUUCGAUGAUACGCGAGGAACCUUACCCGGGCUUAAAUUGCAGAUGAAUUACGGUGAAAGCCGUAAGCCGCAAGGCAUCUGUGAAGGUGCUGCAUGGUUGUCGUCAGCUCGUGCCGUGAGGUGUCGGCUUAAGUGCCAUAACGAGCGCAACCCUUGUUGUCAGUUACUAACAGGUUCCGCUGAGGACUCUGACAAGACUGCCAUCGUAAGAUGUGAGGAAGGUGGGGAUGACGUCAAAUCAGCACGGCCCUUACGUCCGGGGCUACACACGUGUUACAAUGGGGGGUACAGAGGGCCGCUACCACGCGAGUGGAUGCCAAUCCCCAAAACCUCUCUCAGUUCGGACUGGAGUCUGCAACCCGACUCCACGAAGCUGGAUUCGCUAGUAAUCGCGCAUCAGCCACGGCGCGGUGAAUACGUUCCCGGGCCUUGCACACACCGCCC